rnacentral:rRNA from 1 species
CGGCGACGAGUUUGAUCAGUGGCUCGAGGACGAACGCUGGCGGCGUGCCUAACACAUGCAAGUCGAACGGGGUGAUAUCCUUCGGGAGAUCACUUAGUGGCGAACGGGUGAGUAACGCGUGAGGAACCUGCCUUUCAGGUGGGGGACAACAGUUGGAAACGACUGCUAAUACCGCAUAACAUACACGGACCGCAUGAUCUGUGUAUCAAAGCUUUAUGUGCUGAAAGAUGGCCUCGCGUCUGAUUAGCUAGUUGGUGGGGUAACGGCCCACCAAGGCGACGAUCAGUAGCCGGUCUGAGAGGAUGAACGGCCACAUUGGGACUGAGAUACGGCCCAGACUCCUACGGGAGGCAGCAGGUGGGGAAUAUUGGGCAAUGGGCGAAAGCCUGACCCAGCAACGCCGCGUGAAGGAAGAAGGCCUUCGGGUUGUAAACUUUAGUACCUAGGGACGAACAAAUGACGGUACCUAGGGUUAAGCCACGGCUAACUACGUG